rnacentral:rRNA from 1 species
CCAAUAGCGUAUAUUAAAGUUGUUGCAGUUAAAAAGCUCGUAGUUGAAUUUCGGGAUUAAUUUACUGGUCGUGCUAUUGUACGUACUGGUUUUAUUGAUUCCUCCCUUCUGACGAACUAUGAUGUCAUUAAUUUGGUGUCAUAGGAAAUCAGGACUGUUACUUUGAAAAAAUUAGAGUGUUUAAAGCAGGCUCACGCUUGAAUACAUUAGCAUGGAAUAAAGGAUUAGGACGUUUGAUUCUAUUUUGUUGGUUUCUAGGAUCGACGUAAUGAUUAAUAGGGAUAGUUGGGGGCAUUAGUAUUCAAUUGUCAGAGGUGAAAUUCUUGGAUUUAUUGAAGACUAACUACUGCGAAAGCAUUUGCCAAGGAUGUUUUCAUUAAUCAAGAACGAAAGUUAGGGGAUCGAAGACGAUCAGAUACCGUCGUAGUCUUAACCAUAAACUAUGCCGACUAGGGAUCGGAUGAUGUUAAUUUUUUAAUGACUCAUUCGGCGCCUUACG